GAUGAACGCUGGCGGCGUGCCUAAUACAUGCAAGUCGAGCGAACAGAUGAGGAGCUUGCUCCUCUGACGUUAGCGGCGGACGGGUGAAUAACACGUGGAUAACCUACCUAUAAGACUGGGAUAACUACGGGAAACCGGAGCUAAUACCGGAUAAUAUAUUGAACCGCAUGGUUCAAUAGUGAAAGACGGUUUUGCUGUCACUUAUAGAUGGAUCCGCGCCGCAUUAGCUAGUUGGUAAGGUAACGGCUUACCAAGGCAACGAUGCGUAGCCGACCUGAGAGGAUGAUCGGCCACACUGGAACUGAGACACGGUCCAGACUCCUACGGGAGGCAGCAGUAGGGAAUCUUCCGCAAUGGGCGAAAGCCUGACGGAGCAACGCCGCGUGAGUGAUGAAGGUCUUCGGAUCGUAAAACUCUGUUAUUAGGGAAGAACAAAUGUGUAAGUAACUAUGCACGUCUUGACGGUACCUAAUCAGAAAGCCACGGCUAACUACGUG
rnacentral:rRNA from 1 species